rnacentral:lncRNA from 13 species
GAAAAUGUCUUCUACCACAUUUUUCAGUUUUAUCACCAAAUUUUGACAGAGCCAAGAGCCUGGAGCUGCUUCUGCUGCCCUGUGUGUGCUCAGUGACCUGGAGGGGACCUAGCCAAGUGUCUCCUUGGCAGUUCCCGAGCUGUUCAUUCUCUCAUGUAAGUGCUUUUACAAAAAUGACCUGGUCCUGAGCAGCUGGAGGAGUUCAGCCAUGAGACUGAUGUCUGCCCCCAUCUCUUUCCUUUCUUUCAGACUAUGCUGCUCUGGGAGGAGAGGGCAGCUCUUGGAGGACACUAGUCCUGAGGAAGCCUGUUGGAUAACCACAGCUCAUUGGACAACCCCAAUCCCCAACCCUCCUGUUUUUAAAAUAGGCAGUAGGCUGGCAGCUGGGAUGUGUGAGAGGGAGGAGGGAUUGUUUUGAGGCUGGGGAUGUGUGUGGAAGGAAGAGCCUGAGGAUGCAGAUGGAAUGGAAGAAAAUCUAAGUGAUUAAACGGCUGUAGAUGAGUGGAGAUAUGGCUUAAGAGAUUGAUGGCCGCCUGCUGGGUGGAGAGAUGGAAGGAAAGAUUGGAUUCACGUGCAGCAGGAUUGCAAAUCUGCCCUCCCUUCCCAUGUUAAAUUGCAUUCGUUACUGGUUUUUAGCCUUCCCCUGUGUAAACUUCCACACAGCUCUGUCCCACACCUUUAUGGCCACAUCUGCUAUUUCCACCUCCCGGACCCUCUGGUCUGUUUUGGGGGGGAACAGGCGAUAAAAUAAACCUCGUGCAGCCACAGCAGCUGUUUGCUGUGUCAGUGUUUUCUUUGGCUGACGCGAGUGCGUUCUGGUAUUGUGCACCACUGCCUGUGUCAGUAACCGUGCACAGAGGAGGGAAAGCUGCAGGUACAGAGCGCACUCAGCAUCGGUGUGCACCCCAG